rnacentral:pre_miRNA from 1 species
GACUGGCUGUGAUCCAGUUCAAGUAAUCCAGGAUAGGCUGUGUGUAUCCUGGUUGGCCUAUUCAUGAUUACUUGCACUUGGUGGCAGCU